rnacentral:lncRNA from 1 species
AUGUUAAUGCCUAUGGGGUGGGUGCUCAAAAUGAAGCUGCAAAGUAGUUUGCCUUGCGUGGACACCGCUCCAUCAACCAAGUCAUCGCGUGGUUGGAAGGACAAGACGUGAAUAAGGAACAGUUGAACAUCAUCAUAAGUGGACUCAUGAGAGCUGAAUAAGGAAUAGUCAAAUAUCAUCAAAACUCGACUCAUCAUACUAUGAUUUUGUCAUUAUCAUAAUUGUAUUGUUUAUUAAAUAAUACAAUUUUUGUUAUUUUUGUAAUUAUAUUGUUUAUCGUUAAAGCAUAUUAGCACAUUU